rnacentral:rRNA from 1 species
AACGAACGCUGGCGGCAUGCCUAACACAUGCAAGUCGAACGAAGGCUUCGGCCUUAGUGGCGCACGGGUGCGUAACGCGUGGGAAUCUGCCCUUUGCUUCGGAAUAACAGUUAGAAAUGACUGCUAAUACCGGAUGAUGUCGCAAGACCAAAGAUUUAUUGGCAAAGGAUGAGCCCGCGUAGGAUUAGCUAGUUGGUGGGGUAAAGGCCUACCAAGGCGACGAUCCUUAGCUGGUCUGAGAGGAUGAUCAGCCACACUGGGACUGAGACACGGCCCAGACUCCUACGGGAGGCAGCAGUGGGGAAUAUUGGACAAUGGGCGAAAGCCUGAUCCAGCAAUGCCGCGUGAGUGAUGAAGGCCUUAGGGUUGUAAAGCUCUUUUACCCGGGAUGAUAAUGACAGUACCGGGAGAAUAAGCUCCGGCUAACUCCGUG